rnacentral:rRNA from 1 species
CUACGGGAGGCAGCAGUGGGGAAUAUUGGACAAUGGGGGAAACCCUGAUCCAGCAAUGCCGCGUGUGUGAAGAAGGCCUGCGGGUUGUAAAGCACUUUCGGUUGGGAGGACUGCUUCUAGCACUAAUAUUGUUGGAAGUUGACGUUACCUUCAGAAGAAGCACCGGCUAACUCCGUGCCAGCAGCCGCGGUAAUACGGAGGGUGCAAGCGUUAAUCGGAAUUACUGGGCGUAAAGCGCGCGUAGGCGGCUAGAUCAGUCGGGUGUGAAAGCCCCGGGCUUAACCUGGGAACUGCAUCCGAUACUGUCUAGCUUGAGUACAGGAGAGGAGAGUGGAAUUCCGCAUGUAGCGGUGAAAUGCGUAGAUAUGUGGAGGAACACCAAUGGCGAAGGCAGCUCUCUGGCCUGAUACUGACGCUGAGGUGCGAAGGCGUGGGGAGCAAACAGGAUUAGAUACCCCAGUAGUC